rnacentral:rRNA from 1 species
UACAAGAUGGACCCGCGUCUGAUUAGCUGGUUGGUGAGGUAACGGCCCACCAAGGCGACGAUCAGUAGCCGGCCUGAGAGGGUGAACGGCCACAUUGGGACUGAGACACGGCCCAGACUCCUACGGGAGGCAGCAGUAGGGAAUCUUCGGCAAUGGGGGCAACCCUGACCGAGCAACGCCGCGUGAGUGAAGAAGGUUUUCGGAUCGUAAAGCUCUGUUGUAAGUCAAGAACGGGUGUGAGAGUGGAAAGUUCACACUGUGACGGUAGCUUACCAGAAAGGGACGGCUAACUACGUGCCAGCAGCCGCGGUAAUACGUAGGUCCCGAGCGUUGUCCGGAUUUAUUGGGCGUAAAGCGAGCGCAGGCGGUUUGAUAAGUCUGAAGUUAAAGGCUGUGGCUCAACCAUAGUUCGCUUUGGAAACUGUCAAACUUGAGUGCAGAAGGGGAGAGUGGAAUUCCAUGUGUAGCGGUGAAAUGCGUAGAUAUAUGGAGGAACACCGGUGGCGAA